AUAGGUUGUUUUUUUCCCUUUUGAUUGUUACGACAUCUACAAUUGUGGAAAAAGGGAAACAGGUGUUUAUGAAAUAUACCCUAUCACAACCCGUGUUCCUAUUCAGGUUCUGUGUGAGAUGGAUUUAACCGGAGGAGGGUGGACGGUAAUGCAGCGAAGGAAUCGAGAAAAUUCCUUUGUCAAUUUCAACACCACCUGGAAUGAAUACAAGCGAGGUUUUGGUGAUGUUAGAGGGAAUUAUUGGCAUGGAAACAACGCGAUUCAUAAGUUGACCGCAAAAUACAACAACUCACUGUUCAUCAGAUUUGAAUCUACAAAGAAUGUCAUUUGAAGUACAAUAUUCUUUAUUUUCAAUCUCUGAUGAAACUGAUGGUUACAAACUAUCCUUGGGGGAAAUGUCUGGAAAAAUUGUUGAUGCAUUCAGAUCGUACAUGGUGGUAGACUUUCCUUUCUUCACAUUCGAUCAUGACACCAAACUGGGGUGAGCGGCUCAGUAUGGAUCUGGAUGGUGGUACAAUUGGUGUACACGAGUCAAUCUUAAUGUUCCAUUUUUUAAAGAUGACAAUAAUUAUGUAUGGGAUACUACUAUUCGGAAUGGCAGUGAUCUUUCAUUUUCGGAGAUGCUGCUUAGAAGAACGUAGUGUAAAAAAAACCUUCUUUUGGAAACUUCUUGGGGUAUGAUUAAGAUAUCACAAAUGCUAAUAACAUUUGCUUCAACGAAAGCAAAAAAAAAAAAAAUAUCAUUACUAUGCAGCUUAGACAUAAUAUUUAUACUUAUGGCCGAAUUUAGUUUAUGUAAGUUGCAUCCUUCGCAAAAAGUUUGUAAUUUGAAAUUAUAAAAAAAACGCAAUCAAACAUAAAUGCUCCAUUAACAGUCUUGAUUUAAAAUUUAUAUUCAGAUCUUUGCUGGCAAGUUUAACUAAUCUUUCUUUUCAAGCUUAAUUUAUUAUUAUACAAAACAUCUCAUUUCAGACAAAUUAUGUAAGUCAAAUUAACAUACAUGAUACAUUCAUGUAAUCAAUAUUUUCAUUACAAUGACCUUAGUUAUAUCCUUUUAUAAGAAAAAAGCAAAAGGAAAGCAGGUUUUAGUUUCAUAAAUAUUGAUUUAAAUGCAUCAACCGAUUCGUAUAUAGUUGUUUAUCUCUUUUUUUCCUUCUUUAAAGAUUAAAAUUGAACAGAAGAAAACCUGAUCAUAAAUGUUUUUAAAGAACUUGACUCCUGAGAAUGAACAGUU